CCUCGAUCCGCGCCGCCGCGGCCUCCAUGUAGCCCGGCGCCCCGUGGGGGCUCCAGCAAGAUGGCGGAUCUGUCGCUGCUCCAGGAGGACCUGCAGGAGGAGAUAGACGGCUUUGGUGUGGAUGACUACAGCUCAGAGUCUGAUGUGAUUAUUAUACCUUCAGCCCUGGACUUUGUCUCACAAGAUGAAAUGUUGACGCCUUUGGGAAGACUGGACAAGUACGCUGCAAGUG